AUGUGCAUGUCAAGGAUAGAAAGAUAACCGGAUUAAAAAGCCAUGAUAACCAUGUUAUUUUGCAAGACUUGUUGCCCCUUGCUGUGAGAAGAAUAUUGCCAGAAAGAGUGAGUGCUGUAUUGAUACGUGUUAGCAGAUUUUUUAAGAAAAUGUACUCACCGGUUAUUCGUAAAAGUGACAUGGAAAAGUUAGGGGCAGAAAUUGCUGAAACCUUGAGUCUUCUUGAGGCUAUAUUCCUUCCAUCUUUUUUUGAUAUUAUGGUGCACUUGAUGGUUCAUCUUCCGGCACAAGCAAUGAUUGCUGGUCCAGUAUAUUUUCGCAGCAUGUGGUCUACAGAGAGGUGUAUGGGAAAUCUUAAGGGACAUGUCCAUACUAGAAGUCAUGUGGAAGGAUCAAUUGCAGAGGGCUAUUUGUUUCAGGAGAGCUUAACAUUUUGCUCUCGCUAUUUAGAUGGCGAGACUCUGUUUAACCGAGGAGGUAGAAAUGAUGGAGAUUUGGAUAUGGAAAUUGCUUCUGCAACUCCAUUCUUCCGCAACUCUGGUCGAGGGUUGGCUGGCAAGUGUCAAGUGAUGUUAGAUUACAAAACUUGGCUUCAAGCCCACAAAUAUGUCUUAUUCAACUAUGACCAUAUAGAACCAUACUUAAAGUGAGAUGUCCCAUACUUAAACUAAGGCAGAUUUAAAGAAGACAAAGUUUGAUCCCGAAUUGACUGACGAAGAGCUUAUGCCUAGAUGUGAUGACAGAAUUAGUGAAGCUGAUUGGAAGGACCUUCUUAAAUAUUGGAGAUCUCCUGAAUUCGAAGCUCGGAGUUCUACAGCCAAAGAAAAUCGCGCCAAGUCAACCGUGCCUCAUACAGCUGGCAGCAAGAGUCAUGCCCGUGUUACCCAAGAAAUGGU